rnacentral:rRNA from 1 species
UACGUAGGGAGCAAGCGUUGUUCGGAUUUACUGGGCGUAAAGGGCGCGUAGGCGGCGUGUCAAGUCGAUUGUGAAUCUCCGGGCUUAACUCGGAACGGCCAAUCGAUACUGACGUGCUAGAGUGCAGAAAGGGCAAUCGGAAUUCUUGGUGUAGCGGUGAAAUGCGUAGAUAUCAAGAGGAACACCUGAGGCGAAGGCGGGUUGCUAGGCUGACACUGACGCUGAGUGCGCGAAAGCCAGGGGAGCAAACGGGG